rnacentral:rRNA from 1 species
GACAGAGGGGGCAAGCGUUGCUCGGAAUCACUGGGCGUAAAGGGCGCGUAGGCGGGAUAGCAAGUCGGUCGUGAAAUCCUUCGGCUCAACCGAAGAACGUCGGCCGAUACUGCCGUUCUUGAGGGAUGCAGAGGAGAUUGGAAUUCCCGGUGUAGCGGUGAAAUGUGUAGGGAUCGGGAGGAACACCGGUGGCGUAGGCGGGUCUCUGGGCAUCUCCUGACGCUGAGGCGCGAAAGCGUGGGGAGCAAACGGG